UACGUAGGUGGCAAGCGUUGUCCGGAAUUACUGGGCGUAAAGCGCACGUAGGCGGCUUUGUAAGUUAGAGGUGAAAGCCCAGGGCUCAACCCUGGAAUUGCCUUUAAGACUGCAUCGCUUGAACAUCGGAGAGGUAAGUGGAAUUCCGAGUGUAGAGGUGAAAUUCGUAGAUAUUCGGAAGAACACCAGUGGCGAAGGCGACUUACUGGACGAUUGUUGACGCUGAGGUGCGAAAGCGUGGGGAGCAAACAGG
rnacentral:rRNA from 1 species